rnacentral:rRNA from 1 species
AGCGAACGCUGGCGGCAGGCCUAACACAUGCAAGUCGAACGAAGCCUUCGGGCUUAGUGGCGGACGGGUGAGUAACACGUGGGAACGUACCUUUAGGUUCGGAACAACUCAGGGAAACUUGAGCUAAUACCGGAUAAGCCCUUCGGGGGAAAGAUUUAUCGCCUUUAGAGCGGCCCGCGUUAGAUUAGCUAGUUGGUGAGGUAAAGGCUCACCAAGGCUACGAUCUAUAGCUGGUCUGAGAGGAUGAUCAGCCACACUGGGACUGAGACACGGCCCAGACUCCUACGGGAGGCAGCAGUGGGGAAUCUUGCGCAAUGGGCGAAAGCCUGACGCAGCCAUGCCGCGUGAAUGAUGAAGGUCUUAGGAUUGUAAAAUUCUUUUACCAGGGACGAUAAUGACGGUACCUGGAGAAAAAGCCCCGGCUAACUUCGUGCCAGCCGCCGCCGUAAAAC